rnacentral:ncRNA from 1 species
AAAGGCAUGGUCCCAACCUUAAUAUCUGCCCUAGCUCAAUUUACACAUGCAAGUAUCCGCAACCCAGUGAACAUGCCCUCAGUCCCCCUCCCGGGGAAGAGGAGCGGACAUCAGGCACACAUUACAAGCCCAAGACGUCUGGCCAAGCCACACCCCCAAGGGAAUUCAGCAGUGAUAAACAUUAAGCCAUAAGUGAAAACUUGACUCAGUUAGAGCUAAGAGGGCCGGUAAAACUCGUGCCAGCCACCGCGGUUAGACGAGAGGCCCUAGUUGAUAUUUAAACGGCGUAAAGAGUGGUUAGGGAAGAAAAAUAAUAAAGCCGAAUGGCCCCUUGGCCGUCAUACGCUUCUAGGCGUCCGAAGCCCCAUCUUACACGAAAGUAGCUUUAAUACCACCCGACUCCACGAAAGUUAAGAAACAAACUGGGAUUAGAUACCCCACUAUGCUUAACCGUAAACUAAGACAUCAAACUACAGCAAGAUGUCCGCCAGGGUACUACGAGCACCAGCUUAAAACCCAAAGGACCUGACGGUGUCUCAGAUCCACCUAGAGGAGCCUGUUCUAUAACCGAUAACCCCCGUUAAACCUUACCACUUUUAGCCAUCCCAGCCUAUAUACCGCCGUCGUCAGCUUACCCUGUGAAGGCAGCAAAAGUAAGCAAAAUGAGUAAAACCCAAAACGUCAGGUCGAGGUGUAGCGCAUGAAGUGGAAAGAAAUGGGCUACAUUUUCUAUUUCAGAACAUACGAAUAUGCACCAUGAAACAGUGCUUAAAGGAGGAUUUAGCAGUAAAAAGGAAACAGAGUGUCCAUUUGAACCCGGCUCUGAGACGCGUACACACCGCCCGUCACUCUCCCCAUCAUAAGCGCACAUAUACCUAAUUCAACAGCACAAGAACUAGGGGAGGCAAGUCGUAACAUGGUAAGUGCACCGGAAGGUGCACUUGGAACAAACC